AACAAACGCUGGCGGCGUGCCUAACACAUGCAAGUCGUACGAGAAAGGGUCCUUCGGGGCCUGAGUAAAGUGGCGCACGGGUGAGUAACGCGUGGAUAAUCUGCCCUUCAGUUGGGAAUAACUCAUCGAAAGGCGGGCUAAUACCGAGUAAUGCUGUGAGACCUCGGUUGAUCAGCCAAAGAGAGCCUCUGCUUGCAAGCCCUCGCUGAAGGAUGAGUCCGCGUACCAUUAGCUAGUUGGUAGGGUAAUGGCCUACCAAGGCGACGAUGGUUAGCUGGUCUGAGAGGAUGAUCAGCCACACUGGAACUGAGACACGGUCCAGACUCCUACGGGAGGCAGCAGUGAGGAAUCUUGCGCAAUGGGGGCAACCCUGACGCAGCAACGCCGCGUGAGUGAGGAAGGUCUUCGGAUCGUAAAGCUCUGUCGGAUGGAAAGAACCGCAUAGGGGUAAACAGCCCCUGUGUCUGACGGUACCAUCAAAGGAAGCACCGGCUAACUCCGUGCCAGCCGCCGCCGUAAGAC
rnacentral:rRNA from 1 species